rnacentral:rRNA from 1 species
GAUGAACGCUAGCGGGAGGCUUAACACAUGCAAGUCGAGGAGUAACAUGAGGUAGCAAUACUUUGAUGACGACCGGCGCACGGGUGAGUAACACGUAUGCAACCUACCCUGUACAGGGGGAUAGCCCGGAGAAAUUCGGAUUAAUACCCCAUAAAGAUAUUUAGAGGCAUCUUUAAAUAUUUAAAGUUUCGACGGUACGGGAUGGGCAUGCGCAACAUUAGCUAGUUGGUAGGGUAACGGCCUACCAAGGCUACGAUGUUUAGGGGACCUGAGAGGGUGAUCCCCCACACUGGUACUGAGACACGGACCAGACUCCUACGGGAGGCAGCAGUGAGGAAUAUUGGUCAAUGGGCGUAAGCCUGAACCAGCCAUCCCGCGUGAAGGAAGAAGGCGCUAUGCGUUGUAAACUUCUUUUCCGGGGGAAGAAAACCCGCUACGAGUAGCGGCUUGCCGGUACCCUGGGAAUAAGCAUCGGCUAACUCCGUGCCAGCCGCCGCGGUAAUAC